rnacentral:rRNA from 1 species
ACUCAAAUGAAUUGACGGGGGCCCGCACAAGCAGCGGAGCGUGUGGUUUAAUUCGAGGCUACACGAACAACCUUACCUGGGCUUGAAGAGCAGGUGGUAGGGAACCGAAAGGGGACCGACCUUCGGGAGCCUGCACCGGUGCUGCAUGGCUGUCGUCAGCUCGUGUCGUGAGAUGUUCGGUUAAGUCCGAAAACGAGCGCAACCCCCGGGGUACGUUACAGGUAUCGUGCCCGACUGCCCGUGAGAAACGGGAGGAAGGUGGGGAUGACGUCAAGUCAGCAUGGCCUGGAUGUCCAGGGCGACACACACGCUACAAUGGCUGGGACAAUGGGUUGCCAAGGCGCGAGCCGGAGCCAAUCCCGCAAACCCGGUCGUAGUUCGGAUUGCAGGCUGCAACCCGCCUGCAUGAAGUUGGAGUUGCUAGUAACCGCGCGUCAGCACAGUGCGGUGAAUACGUUCCCGGGCCUUGUACACACCGCCCGU